rnacentral:rRNA from 1 species
UACGUAGGGUGCGAGCGUUGUCCGGAAUUAUUGGGCGUAAAGGGCUCGUAGGCGGUCUGUCACGUCGAAAGUGAAAACUCAGGGCUUAACCCUGAGCCUGCUUCCGAUACGGGCAGACUAGAGGUAUGCAGGGGAGAAUGGAAUUCCUGGUGUAGCGGUGAAAUGCGCAGAUAUCAGGAGGAACACCAGUGGCGAAGGCGGUUCUCUGGGCAUUACCUGACGCUGAGGAGCGAAAGCGUGGGAGCGAACAGG